GAUGAACGCUGGCGGCGUGCCUAAUACAUGCAAGUCGAGCGAACAGAUAAGGAGCUUGCUCCUUUGACGUUAGCGGCGGACGGGUGAGUAACACGUGGAUAACCUACCUAUAAGACUGGGAUAACUUCGGGAAACCGGAGCUAAUACCGGAUAACAUAUUGAACCGCAUGGUUCAAUAGUGAAAGGCGGCUUUGCUGUCACUUAUAGAUGGAUCCGCGCCGUAUUAGCUAGUUGGUAAGGUAACGGCUUACCAAGGCAACGAUACGUAGCCGACCUGAGAGGGUGAUCGGCCACACUGGAACUGAGACACGGUCCAGACUCCUACGGGAGGCAGCAGUAGGGAAUCUUCCGCAAUGGGCGAAAGCCUGACGGAGCAACGCCGCGUGAGUGAUGAGGGUCUUCGGAUCGUAAAACUCUGUUAUCAGGGAAGAACAAAUGUGUAAGUAACUGUGCACAUCUUGACGGUACCUGAUCAGAAAGCCACGGCUAACUACGUG
rnacentral:rRNA from 1 species